rnacentral:rRNA from 1 species
CACAGGGGUUGCGAGCGUUGUCCGGAAUUACUAGGCGUAAAGGGCAGGCAGGCGGAUCCAUAAGUUUAUCGUUUAAGGCGUCGGCUUAACCGGCGUAGGGCGGUAGAUACUGUGGAUCUGGAAUGCGGUUGGGGAAGACAGAAUUCCUGGUGUAGCGGUGGAAUGCGCAGAGAUCAGGAGGAAUACCGAAGGCGAAGGCAGUCUUCCAAGCCGUUAUUGACGCUCAACUGCGAAGGUGUGGGUAUCAAACAGGAUUAGAUACCCGUGUAGUCCCU